AUGGUUAGUGCCAAGAGACUUGCUCAGAUGGCCAAGAAGUGGCAGAGGAUGGCAGCCAUGGGGAGGAAGAGCCUCACCCUGACCACGACAGCGGCGAAAGGAGCAGCCAAUGAUGAGCGCUGUGCAACUUCGCCGUCGGUGGCAGUGAAGGGCCACUGUGUGGUGUACACCGCCGACAGUGUGCGGUUUGAGGUGCCGCUGGCAUUCCUCGGCACGGUGGUCUUCUGCGAGCUCCUGGCGAUGUCCCAGGAGGAGUUCGGCUUUGCAGGUGGCGAUGACGGGAGGAUCAUGCUGCCCUGUGAUGGCACGGUCAUGGAGUACGCCCUGUGCUUGCUCCGGAGAGAUGCCUCCACGGAAGUUGUGAUGGCAUUCAUGAGCUCAAUCGGGAGGCCGUGCAGGUUUGAAGGCAGUGUGGUGGGCGUAGGGCUUUUAACCAGCAAGUAG
rnacentral:rRNA from 1 species